rnacentral:rRNA from 1 species
CAAUAGCGUAUAUUAACGUUGUUGCAGUUAAAAAGCUCGUAGUUGGAUUUCUGGAGGGAGCGUCGGCCCGUAUUUACGAGUGCGUGACGUCUCUGUCCAUCCUUGCGGGAAGGCACGGUAUUGAUUUGUUGUGUCGGAUCGCAUCAUUUACUGUGAAAAAAUUAGAGUGUUCAAAGCAGGCUUUCGCUUGAAUACAUUAGCAUGGAAUAAUAAGAUAGGACUUUGGUGCUAUUUUGUUGGUUGAGCCUAAAGUAAUGAUUAAUAGGGAUAGUUGGGGGCACCUGUAUUGCGUUGUCAGAGGUGAAAUUCUUGGAUUUACGCAAGACAAACAGCUGCGAAAGCGUCUGCCAAGGAUGUUUUCAUUAA